UGCGUAGGCGGGCUAUUAAGUCAGAGGUGAAAUACUGCCGCUUAACGGUAGAAUUGCCUUUGAUACUGAUAGUCUUGAGUAUAGUUGAGGUAGGCGGAAUGUGUUGUGUAGCGGUGAAAUGCUUAGAUAUAACACAGAACACCAAUUGCGAAGGCAGCUUACUAAGCUAUUACUGACGCUGAUGCACGAAAGCGUGGGGAGCGAACAGGAUUAGAUACCCUGGUAGUCC
rnacentral:rRNA from 1 species